UGUCAUGUUUUCUAUUUUUAUUGAUAUGUCUUGAGUUCCUCUUUCCUUUCAACUGCCACUUUGAAGUACCUUUCUCUAUCCUCUGACUGAUAUUAUUCACGUGAGUAGCUGCUGAACUGGUAGAACCAGAUUCAUUGAGUACCUCAUUUUUCAGAGAUACAGCCUCUGCUUGACUACUUUGACUAGAUUGCCUCCCCAAUCCACCAACUUGAUGCUUUCCUGAGGAAGACACAACCAUAGGAGAAAAACCUGCUGAGUGUUUAUCCUCCCCAACAAAUGGCACAUCAAAUAACCUGUCUAAUGAAUCAUUCUCGGUAAAUCCUGAUACACCAGGAGCAUCAUUCUCUGUUCUCAACUUGUAAUCAAUGUGGGAAGCAUCGAAAGCAUGUUCGGAAGGAUUCAAAGAUGCACCAUUCUCACAUGAAACUCCAGUACUAUCUGAGUUAUUAUUAACUACAACACAAAUGCUUUUUCUAGACUCAUUAGAAUCUAUACCAGAAACCUUGCUGUCAGAAAAUCCAUUAAGAGGUGAGCCACUUGAAUUGGGAAGUCGAUCACAAAUAACUGGAACAGAUACCAUCGCUGUAUUCUCCAAUAC
rnacentral:misc_RNA from 1 species